ACGGAAGGCAGCAGUGAGUAAUAUUGGUCAAUGGGCGGAAGCCUGAACCAGCCAAGUCGCGUGAGGGAAGACGGCCCUACGGGUUGUAAACCUCUUCUGCGCGGGGGUAAAGUCGGGGACGGGUCCCCGCUUGCAAGUACCGCGCGAAAAAGGAUCGGCUAACUCCGUGCCAGCAGCCGCGGUAAUACGGAGGAUCCGAGUGUUAUCCGGAUUUAUUGGGUUUAAAGGGUGCGCAGGCGGGAUGUCAAGUCAGUGGUGAAAUGGUGCGGCUCAACCGGAGCAUUGCCGUUGAAACUGCCGUCCUUGAGUGCGAAUGAGGUACGCGGAACGUGUCAUGUAGCGGUGAAAUGCAUAGAUAUGACACAGAACACCGAUUGCGAAGGCAGCGUACUGGGACGCGACUGACGCUGAGGCACGAAAGUGCGGGGAUCGAACAGGAUUAGAUACCGUGGUA
rnacentral:rRNA from 1 species